CAAAUCCCUUUUAUUUUUUUUUUUAACUGAUUUAUUCUACACAAAUCUUUUAAACAACAUUCAUAAAACAUUAAUUACAAAAAUGUGCUAAUAUGGGGUAGGUUUCUUUCUUUUUCUUCUUCUACUUCUUUUUUUUUUUUUUUUUUUUUUUUCAAAUUCCAACUAUCAGAAAUUCACAUUUUGAAAGGACAGGCAUACUUUUAAGAGACACAUUCACUUUACUUCCAGAUACAAAAUUGUGAGGGGUUAUAAAUCAUUUACAAGCAGAUGUAAAAUAAAAGAUUAAAAAAAAAAAAAAAAAAAAAAAAAAGAAAGAAUAAUUUGAAGCUUCAGGAUGUGAUUUCAGCAUUGAAUUGAGCAGCUGCUUUUGGACCACUGGCUCUGCUGCUCUGCCCAGGGUGCCCAGGAGCAAUUUCAGAGCCACACACACUGCUCAGAGCCUGGAGCACAGCAGAAAAAAAUGGGAUUACAAAGCUACCAACAGUGCUGCAGCCUUUUAUUGAGUCCUUCUAGUGGGCACAGACAUGGAGAGGGUGCAUCCCACCCCAAAAACCCAUGGGCAGGCUGUUUUCCAUCAGCCACAGGGCAGUGCCAGCUGGGGCAGGGCAUGGCUUUGGAAUCUGCUGAGGUCCUGCUUCAAAAACAACCCCCCAAAACGGCCAAAAUUCAAGCCUCCACCCCAGUGCUCUUAUGUGGAGCCAGCUCCAAAAUCCACCCAGCUGAAAGCAAAUAUUUGGCUUCAUCCUGCUGGAUUUCAGGGCAGGGGAGGGGGGAGAAGGUAAUUUCCUAAUUGCCCUCAGCCUCCCCAGAAAAAAAUCCUGCCUCUGGCUCCAACGGGCUGAAAUGGAAACAGGAUAUGCUGGGAAAGUUCAGGCCUGGGGAAAUUGUGUUUUUUUUUCCCAAAAGGAUUGAGCAGAACAGGCUCAGCAGCCAAAUCCCAGCUGGGCUCAGGCAGUUUAGCAUCACCCAGCACCAGAGGAGCAUCACCUCUGUGCACAAAGCUGGAAACAUCUGGCACACCACCAGGAAAAAUGUACAAAAGGGGCAAAAAAAGCUGAAUUUCUGGGUAAAACAGCCCCUAAGUCUUGUCUCUAAAGCUGUAGGUGUGGGGAAGGGUGAGCCUUGGGGAGGAGGGUAUGAAAAGAGGAGAAAUUUGGAGGUACAGAAAGAAGAGAAAGUUUGGGGAUACAAAAAGAGGAGAAAGUUUGGAGGUACAAAAAGAAGAGAAAGUUUGGACAUGCAGAAGGAGGAAAAAAAAAUUGGGGGUGCAAAAAGACUAGAAAGUUUGGAGGUACAGAAAGAGGAGAAAUUUGGAGGUGCAGAAAAAGGAAAAAGUUUGGAGGUACAAAAAGAAGAGAAGGUUUGGAGGUGCAGAAAGAGGAGAAAGGUUGGAGGUACAGAAGGAGGAGAAAGUUUGGGGGUACAAAAAGAAGAGAAAGUUUGGGGGUACAAAAAGAGGAUAAAUUUGGAGGUACAGAAAGAGGAGAAAGUUUGGAGGUGCAGAAAGAGGAGAAAUUUGGAGGUGCAGAAAGAGGAUAAAUUUGGAGGUACAAAGCCACAUUUUGCAGAAAACAGGAGGGAUUUGGUCUUUCCUCUCACUCCUGAAGGGUUUCACCACCGAGGUUCAGGGGACACUCCCAGGGCCUUGAGGGGAGCACCGAGGGCAUGGCAAAAUAUUUGCAAAAAAUGAAACUACAAAGCCCCCCUGAAAGCCUCCCAAAGCCAUGAUAACCUCACAGCCACCAGGACUCAAGUCCACAGAGUGGCUGUGCCAGCAGAUAAAGGAGCUGGGGCAAUGACACAGGGCCAGAGCUCCAUCCACCUGGGCUUGCUUUCCUGCCAAAAAUAAAGAAACUGCUUUAUUUAAGUUUGUUACUUGCCCACAGAGCCCCUCUCCAUGCCAGUUCCACCCCUCAGAGCACCUUGGAGGAGGAUUUAAGGAAUAUUUGUCACCCACAUCACUGUCCCUAAAGGUUGUAAAAAGUUUGCUUUUUAAGAAAAAAGAGCUGCUCAAAUCCAAGUUUGGGGGCAUAGAGGUGGAGGGAAGGGGCUGCUCUGCUUGCCUUGGCUUUCAAAACCCAGUUUUGAAAUUUUGGAAAAGGAGAAGCAGAGUCUCAGCUAAAAUAAUCAAAAGAAAACAAACAAAAUUGUGGCGUGCAGGAGCACACACACACAAGCCAGGAAUGGAGAGACAGCAAAGGUCCCAGCUGGCUCUGUCCCUCUGAUUCAGAGGAUCUGAUCCCAGCUCACCUUUCCCCAGGUGAGGAUUCUUUGGCCACUGAGGGAUGUGAGAGUCAGCCAGGGUUCAGAGCAGGCUGCCCAGAGCUAAUUGCUCCCCCGUGCCAGGAGAGCCUCUGCUGCCAGCAGAGCAUUCCCAUGGCACUGCAGGGCACAAGGUCCCUGCCCAGGGCUGGUGGAGCUCCUUGAGUGGCAGCCCCAAAACCUCCUGAAUUUGGGGGGUCCCCAAACCCCCCAGCACCACAGCAGACUGCAGAAGCUCUCUGCUUGGCUGGAAAUUAGGAUGUGGCCUUCCCACAGCUCCCACAGCAGAGAAGUGUUAGGAAACCUCAAGGCAGAGAGGCCAGAAUUUGAUCAAUUUAAGCUCUGUGACUUUUGUGACUUGUGUUUGCCUGGCUGCAGGACCUCAGGGCAGGGCAAGCUGCAGUGAAGCAGCUCCUGCAUAUUGUUUCAAAGCUGAAAAAAAGCUCUAAGCCAUGAAUCCCAAAGCCCUGCUGCCCAUCCUGUCACAAACACAACCAUCCCUGGAGCCCUUCCAGCUCAGCUGUCCCCCUCCAUCCCUCAGGCAGAGAGAGAGGAGUUCAACCCAAUGCCUCACUCUGCAGUUGAAUAAAAAAAAAAAAAAAAAAAAAAAA